GCUUUCGUCGUCCAGUGGAUGGGCACUCGUCUUCUAAACGAGCACACGCAGGUUCGAAUCCUGCCGAAGGCA
rnacentral:tRNA from 1 species